GUGGGGCUGCCGCGCGGGGUGGCCUCGGCCGAGCCGCGGAUACAAGCCCUGGCCUGGUCACCCGGCACUCGUGCCAGCGACCGCCAGCUGCGGCCUGGGGUGGCCUCGGGGCCCGGUGGCUCUGGCUGCAGGCGCAGAAACGAACCCUGGUCAGAGCAGGAAAUACUUGAGCAACCUCGGUGGUCGCCUACUUACUCUGUGGCACUUCGCUCAGACCGCUUUGAAACACGUCUACCAAUUGUUUAUGAUGCAAUUUUAUUUCAAAGCCAUAGUGGAAUUUUGUUUUGUCUUCAAAAUACCUAAGUUAGCGUUCCUCGCAUGGGUCAAAGAAGUCAGAGGAUGCAGCAUUUGAUUGAAUGAGAGUUAGUGGUGUGUCAAAGAAGCAGGCGCCUUCCUAGAACUCUCUGGACAUCCACCUGCCUGGUUCUCUGCUUCCACCUGCCACCUUGCCCUCCAUCCCUGCCUCCUCCCCCAACUUGACCCUUUAGGGUGUCUCUGGAGAGCCAAUGAUGAUGCAUGUAACUCCUUACUGCCCCAGAGGGAGGAAAGCCCUGUUCUGGCCAACCGGCUACUUAGGAGAUGUUCUGGUUAGGUCAGUUUUAUCACAGGACGAAUCAUCCCAAAUAGCUCAAAUAAGAGCUGCCCCUGCAGGGCCCGUGUGGGGGGAGGUACACGUGGCAGUGUAUGUGCACCCUGGGUGGGAAAUGACUUUCGGGCAUCUUUCUCCUGUCCAAUCAGUGCUUGGACCCCCUCCUCAACAUUCCAGAGUCAAGCCCUUCCAGCUUCUUGUCCAACAGGUCCAGUGAUGGAGGGAGAGCUCUUGGCCGAGUGUAACUGCCCUUGGAUGGUUAUUACUACCAGAAAAGUUCUCCCGGGAACUGCAUCCCUUUCAUCUGUUUCCCCUAGAACAUGUGCUGGCGGUCCUUGCACACGCUACGUGCUGAAUAAAUGCAGGGAAUUUCAGCGCACCGUAUGGCGAUUGUUUCUGCAACAUGUUUUUUCAUGUGUUAGAUGUGUAAGAGGUGCUAUAACUGUUCCUUCUCCUCUCUCUCUUUUAUUGAUCUGUCGUGAACCUUGGUGUCCCAGAUACCAGCAAAGAAAAACAGUUUAUUUUGGCAUUCUCUCUCAAAUUUCUUCCUGACUGCAAAUAGGUGAAUACAGGUCAACUGAUGUUUUUAACAUCGGUGCUUUGAAAUUUGUCCUCAUAAAGUAAUUUUUUUCAAAUAUGCGUGUAUCUAUAUAAUAAAAACAGGAAAAGAU